rnacentral:rRNA from 1 species
UACGUAGGGGGCCAGCGUUGUCCGGAAUCAUUGGGCGUAAAGAGCGUGUAGGCGGCUUGGUAAGUCCGCUGUGAAAGUCCAGGGCUCAACCCUGGAAUGCCGGUGGAAACUGUCGAGCUAGAGUCCGGAAGAGGCGAGUGGAAUUCCUGGUGUAACGGUGAAAUGCGCAGAUAUCAGGAGGAACACCAAUGGCGAAGGCAGCUCGCUGGGACGGUACUGACGCUGAGACGCGAAAGCGUGGGGAGCAAACAGG